rnacentral:rRNA from 1 species
AUUGAACGCUGGCGGCAUGCUUUACACAUGCAAGUCGAACGGUAACAGCACUUCGGUGGCUGACGAGUGGCGAACGGGUGAGUAAUACAUCGGAACGUGCCUAGUAGUGGGGGAUAACUACUCGAAAGAGUAGCUAAUACCGCAUGAGAUCUAAGGAUGAAAGCAGGGGACCUUCGGGCCUUGCGCUACUAGAGCGGCUGAUGGCAGAUUAGGUAGUUGGUGGGAUAAAAGCUUACCAAGCCGACGAUCUGUAGCUGGUCUGAGAGGACGACCAGCCACACUGGGACUGAGACACGGCCCAGACUCCUACGGGAGGCAGCAGUGGGGAAUUUUGGACAAUGGGCGCAAGCCUGAUCCAGCAAUGCCGCGUGCAGGAUGAAGGACUUCGGGUUGUAAACUGCUUUUGUACGGAACGAAAAGCCCUCUUCUAAUACAGGAGGGUCAUGACGGUACCGUAAGAAUAAGCACCGGCUAACUACGUG